rfam:Grosmannia clavigera kw1407 unplaced genomic scaffold GCSC_132, whole genome shotgun sequence.
GGCAAGAUGGCCGAGCGGUUAAGGCGCUAGCUUCAGGAUUCCUGGAACUUGCUAGUGUGGAGACACGCGUGGGUUCGAGUCCCACUCUUGUCA